rnacentral:tRNA from 1 species
GUUGGCCGAGUGGUUAAGGCGCUGUGUUUAGGUAAUCCGUCAGGAAACCUUCACUUUCCGCAGUGGGAAACCGCGCAGGUUCGAAUCCUGCAGCCCUCA